UACGAAGGGGGCUAGCGUUGCUCGGAAUCACUGGGCGUAAAGCGCACGUAGGCGGUUUCUUAAGUCAGGGGUGAAAUCCUGGAGCUCAACUCCAGAACUGCCUUUGAUACUGGGAGACUUCGAGUCCGGGAGAGGUGAGUGGAACUGCGAGUGUAGAGGUGAAAUUCGUAGAUAUUCGCAAGAACACCAGUGGCGAAGGCGGCUCACUGGCCCGAUACUGACGCUGAGGUGCGAAAGCGUGGGGAGCAAACAGG
rnacentral:rRNA from 1 species